rnacentral:rRNA from 1 species
UGGUGGUGUGAAUUGUCUGGUUGAUUCCGUUAACGAACGAGACCUUCGCCUACUAAAUAGCUGCUGGAAGAUAUUGCAUCAAGGCCCAGGGGCCCGCUUGCAGAAGGGUUCGUCCCCUGUGAGCGGCAGUUCUCUGGGUUGCUCUUCUUCCAGAAAACGCUUCUUAGAGGGACUAUUUGUGACAAGCAAAUGGAAGUUGGAGGCAAAAACA